rnacentral:rRNA from 1 species
GGCUAGCGUUGUUCGGAUUUACUGGGCGUAAAGCGCACGUAGGCGGAUCGUUAAGUCAGGGGUGAAAUCCUGGAGCUCAACUCCAGAACUGCCUUUGAUACUGGCGAUCUUGAGUCCGGAAGAGGUGAGUGGAACUCCUAGUGUAGAGGUGGAAUUCGUAGAUAUUAGGAAGAACACCAGUGGCGAAGGCGGCUCACUGGUCCGGUACUGACGCUGAGGUGCGAAAGCGUGGGGAGCAAACAGG